rnacentral:rRNA from 1 species
CGCAGCCGCGGUAAUUCCAGCUCCAAUAGCGUAUAUUAAAGUUGUUGCGGUUAAAAAGCUCGUAGUUGAAUUUCGGGAUCAGCGCGUCGGUCGUGCCUCCGGUAUGCACUGGCGCCGCUGGUUUCUCCCCUCUGAGGAACCGUGAUGUCAUUAAUUUGGUGUUGCGGGAAAUCAGGACUGUUACUUUGAAAAAAUUAGAGUGUUUAAAGCGGGCACGCGCUUGAAUACAUUAGCAUGGAAUAACGAAAUAGGACGUUCGAUCUUAUUUUGUUGGUUUCUAGGAUUGACGUAAUGAUUAAUAGGGAUAGUUGGGGGCAUUAGUAUUCAAUUGUCAGAGGUGAAAUUCUUGGAUUUAUUGAAGACUAACUACUGCGAAAGCAUUUGCCAAGGAUGUUUUCAUUAAUCAAGAACGAAAGUUAGGGGAUCGAAGACGAUCAGAUACCGUCGUAGUCUUAACCAUAAACUAUGCCGACUAGGGAUCGGAUGAUGUUAAUUUUAUAAUGACUCAUUCGGCGCCUUA